rnacentral:rRNA from 1 species
AGAGUUUGAUCAUGGCUCAGAACGAACGCUGGCGGCGUGGAUAAGACAUGCAAGUCGAGCGAGAUUUUUUCUUGUAGCAAUACAGGGAAAAGUCUAGCGGCGAACGGGUGCUUAACACGUGGGCAACCUGCCGUGAAGUGGGGGAUAGCUCGCCGAAAGGCGAAUUAAUACCGCAUGUGAUUAGAGAGGACAUCCUUUCGAAAUUAAAGUCGGGGCAACCUGACGCUUCUUGUGGGGCCCGCGGCCUAUCAGCUAGUUGGUGAGGUAACGGCUCACCAAGGCUUUGACGGGUAGCUGGUCUGAGAGGACGACCAGCCACACUGGGACUGAGACACGGCCCAGACACCUACGGGUGGCAGCAGUCGAGAAUUUUUGACAAUGGGGGAAACCCUGAUCGAGCGACGCCGCGUGGAGGAUGAAGGUCUUCGGAUUGUAAACUCCUGUCAUUGGGGAACAAGGUGCAUACGUUAACUGCGUGUGUAUUGAUAGUACCCGAAGAGGAAGAGACGGCUAACUCUGUGCCAGCAGCCGCGGUA